rfam:Glossina pallidipes unplaced genomic scaffold Scaffold22, whole genome shotgun sequence.
AAAUAUAUGAAGCGUGCUAACGACAACCAGCCUCCACGAACUAAUACCUAACGGUGGUCCGGCGGGGGGAGUGAUGGAGGAAGCGUGUGUGGAGGUCAGUUUUUAGUACGUAGGCGCAAUGGAUGGGGAAUCGUGCAUGCUGCUAGUAAGAACCAACAGCAUCUCUUGAAGAUUUUCUACCUCCACACAC